rnacentral:rRNA from 1 species
UACGAAGGGGGCUAGCGUUGUUCGGAAUUACUGGGCGUAAAGCGCACGUAGGCGGAUAUUUAAGUCAGGGGUGAAAUCCCAGAGCUCAACUCUGGAACUGCCUUUGAUACUGGGUAUCUCGAGUAUGGAAGAGGUGAGUGGAAUUCCGAGUGUAGAGGUGAAAUUCGUAGAUAUCGGGAGGAACACCAGUGGCGAAGGCGGCGAUCUGGGAAGAUACUGACGCUGAGGUGCGAAAGCGUGGGGGAGCAAACAGG